GUUAUCCRGAAUUAUUGGGCKUAAAGAGCUYRUAGGCSGUUUGUCGCGUCUGUCKUGAAAGUCCGGKGCUUAACCMMRGAUCUGCGGUGGGUACGGGCASACUAKAGUGCASUAGGGGAGACUGGAAUUCCUGRUGUAGCGGUGGAAUGCGCAGAUAUCAKGAGGAACACCGAUGGCGAAGGCAGGUCUCUGGGCUGUARCUGACGCUGAGGAGCGAAAGCAUGGGGAGCGAACAGAUUAGAUACCCUGGUAGUCCAUGCCGUAAACGUUGGGCACUAGGUGUGGGGACCAUUCCACGGUUUCCGCGCCGCAGCUAACGCAUUAAGUGCCCCGCCUGGGGAGUACGGCCGCAAGGCUAAAACUCAAAGGAAUUGACGGGGGCCCGCACAAGCGGCGGAGCAU
rnacentral:rRNA from 1 species